rnacentral:rRNA from 1 species
UCGAACGAACCUUCGGGUUAGUGGCGGACGGGUGAGUAACGCGUGAGAAUCUGCCCUCAGGAGGGGGACAACAGCUGGAAACGGCUGCUAAUACCCCAUAUGCCGCGAGGUGAAAUGAAUUUCGCCUGAGGAUGAGCUCGCGUCUGAUUAGCUAGUUGGUGUAGGUAAUGGCUCACCAAGGCAUCGAUCAGUAGCUGGUCUGAGAGGAUGAUCAGCCACACUGGGACUGAGACACGGCCCAGACUCCUACGGGAGGCAGCAGUGGGGAAUUUUCCGCAAUGGGCGAAAGCCUGACGGAGCAACGCCGCGUGAGGGAUGAAGGCCUCUGGGCUGUAAACCUCUUUUAUCAAGGAAGAAGAUCUGACGGUACUUGAUGAAUAAGCCACGGCUAAUUCCGUGCCAGCAGCCGCGGUAAUACGGGAGUGGCAAGCGUUAUCCGGAAUUAUUGGGCGUAAAGCGUCCGCAGGCGGCCCUUCAAGUCUGCUGUUAAAAAGUGGAGCUUAACUCCAUCAUGGCAGUGGAAACUGU